AUAACUCCGCGAAAGCGGGGCUAAUACCGGAUGAUGUUUCGAUGUUUUCGGACGUUGAAACCAAAGGUGGCCUCUGCAUGCAAGCUAUCACUUGAGGAUGGGCCCGCGUACCAUUAGCUAGUUGGUAGGGGUAAUGGCCUACCAAGGCAACGAUGGUUAGCUGGUCUGAGAGGAUGGCCAGCCACACUGGAACUGAGACACGGUCCAGACUCCUACGGGAGGCAGCAGUGGGGAAUCUUGCGCAAUGGGGGAAACCCUGACGCAGCAACGCCGCGUGGGUGAUGAAGGCCUUCGGGUCGUAAAGCCCUGUCAGGUGGGAAGAAACAUGUUGAUGCCAAUAUCAUCAGCACUUGACGGUACCACCGGAGGAAGCACCGGCUAACUCCGUGCCAGCAGCCGCGGUAA
rnacentral:rRNA from 1 species